UUGCAACUUAGUUCAUUUAGAAUAGUCAAUUUGCACUUGACAGGAGACUUACCUCAGUAGC
rnacentral:tRNA from 1 species